rnacentral:tRNA from 1 species
UUCCCCGUAGCUCAGUUGUUAGAGCAUGGUGUUUGCAACGCCAGGGUUUUGGGUUUGAUUCCCACGGGGGGC